UACGUAGGGUCCGAGCGUUGUCCGGAAUUACUGGGCGUAAAGAGCUCGUAGGUGGUUUGUCGCGUUGUUCGUGAAAACUCACAGCUCAACUGUGGGCGUGCGGGCGAUACGGGCAGACUGGAGUACUGCAGGGGAGACUGGAAUUCCUGGUGUAGCGGUGGAAUGCGCAGAGUAUCAGGAGGAACACCGGUGGCGAAGGCGGGACUCUGGGCCGAUACUGACGCUGAGGAGCGAAAGCGUGGGGAGCGAACAGG
rnacentral:rRNA from 1 species